rnacentral:rRNA from 1 species
AGUAGGGAAUAUUGGGCAAUGGGCGAAAGCCUGACCCAGCCAUGCCGCGUGAAGGAAGACGGCCUUAUGGGUUGUAAACUUCUUUACUACGCGAAUAGAGGUUAGUACGAGAUACUAAUAGGAAGGUAGUGUAGUAAAAAGCACCGGCUAACUCCGUGCCAGCAGCCGCGGUAAUACGGAGGGUGCAAGCGUUAUUCGGAAUUACUGGGUUUAAAGGGUGCGUAGGCGGUUAAAUAAGUUGUCAGUGAAAGGCUACGGCUCAACUGUAGUAGUGCUGGCGAUACUGUAUAACUAAGGACAUGGGAGGGGUACCUGGAAUGUGUGGUGUAGCGGUGAAAUGCGUAGAUAUCACACAGAACACCGGAGGCAAAGGCGGGGUACUAGACCAUAGUUGACGCUGAGGCACGAAAGCGUGGGGAUCAAACAGGAUUAGAUACCCUGGUAGUCCACGCCCUAAACGAUGAUCACUAGAUAUUGGCGACAGACAGUCAGUGUCCAAGCGAAAGUGAUAAGUGAUCCACCUGGGGAAUACGGCCGCAAGGUUAAAACUCAAAGGAAUUGACGGGGGCCCGCACAAGCGGAGGAGCAUGUGGUUUAAUUCGAUGGUACGCGAGGAACCUUACCUGGGUUAGAACGUAUGAUAAAUGUAGCUGAAAGGUUACAGUCCUGCAAGGGAUAUCAUACGAGGUGCUGCAUGGUUGUCGUCAGCUCGUGCCGUGAGGUGUUUGGUUAAGUCCAGCAACGAGCGCAACCCCUACCUUUAGUUGCCAGCAGGUAAAGCUGGGGACACUAGAGGGACUGCCUGCGCAAGCAGAGAGGAAGGUGGGGAUGACGUCAAAUCAGCACGGCCCUUAUGUCCAGGGCUACACACGUGCUACAAUGGUAACUACAGAGGGCAGCGACUAGGUGACUAGGAGCGAAUCUCGAAAAGUUAUCUCAGUUCGGAUUGGAGUCUGCAACUCGACUCCAUGAAGGUGGAUUCGCUAGUAAUCGCGCAUCAGCAAUGGCGCGGUGAAUACGUUCCCGGGCCUUGUACACACCGCCCGUCAAGCCAUGGAAGUUGGGGGUACCUAAAGUUCGUAACCGUAAAAGGAGCGACCUAGGGUAAACUCGAUGACUGGGGCU